rnacentral:rRNA from 1 species
AGAGUUUGAUCCUGGCUCAGGACGAACGCUGGCGGCGUGCCUAACACAUGCAAGUCGCACGGGCCCGCAAGGGUCAGUGGCGCACGGGUGCGUAACACGUGAGGAACAUAGCCAUCGGCGGGGGAUAGCCGGCCCAACGGCCGGGUAAUACCGCGUACGACCUUCGGGUGGCAUCACCUGGGGGUGAAAGCAGCAAUGCGCCGAUGGGGUGCCUCGCGGCCUAUCAGCUAGUUGGUGAGGUCACGGCUCACCAAGGCUACGACGGGUAGCUGGUCCGAGAGGAUGACCAGCCACAUUGGGACUGAGACACGGCCCAGACUCCUACGGGAGGCAGCAGUGGGGAAUAUUGCGCAAUGGGCGAAAGCCUGACGCAGCGACGCCGCGUGUGGGAUGAAGGUCUUCGGAUUGUAAACCACUGUCGCGAGGGACGAAAAUCUGACGGUACCUCGAAAGGAAGCACCGGCUAACUCUGUGCCAGCAGCCGCGGUAAUACAGAGGGUGCGAGCGUUGUCCGGAAUCACUGGGCGUAAAGGGCGCGUAGGCGGCUUGGUAAGUAGGGGGUGAAAUCUCAUGGCUCAACUGUGAGGCUGCCUUCUAGACUGCUGAGCUGGAGCACAGUAGAGGCGAGUGGAAUUCCCGGUGUAGCGGUGGAAUGCGUAGAGAUCGGGAAGAACAUCG